rnacentral:rRNA from 1 species
UACAUGGGGUGCAAACGUUGCUCGGAAUUAUUGGGCGUAAAGCGCACGUAGGCGGUCCGUUAAGUCAGAUGUGAAAGCCCCCGGCUCAACCGGGGAAGUGCAUCUGAAACUGGCGGGCUAGAGUACGAAAGAGGGUCGCGGAAUUCCCGGUGUAGAGGUGAAAUUCGUAGAUAUCGGGAGGAACACCGGUGGCGAAGGCGGCGACCUGGGUCGAUACUGACGCUGAGGUGCGAAAGCGUGGGGAGCAAACAGG